rnacentral:rRNA from 1 species
CCCGUUUCCGGGGUUUCGGUUAAACCCCUUUCUAGUUGGGACGAAGCUUCGCCGGUGAACAGCCGGCUGGAGUGACCGGUACCUUCAGAAGAAGCCCCGGCUAACUACGUGC